UGUGUACAAGAUUUGCACCUUCUCCCGAAUCAUAUCGUCUAUAUGACCACUUGGCCACUUUGCAUUGACUUCAAUUCAUGUUACCUUUCAAAGCUUCACAUCUGCAGUGACACGCCUAAAUGAGAUUUCACUUUUCGAAUGAUGAACGGCUCGGGCACCAUGACAUUUACCCUUGCCCCCAAUAUGCAUUAUCGUUUUGGUCGACGCUACAGAUGACAUUGUUCGCCUCCUCGAUUCAAAUACAGUCGAUGAGAUCGGUUUCUUCGGAUGUGUAAGUAUGACGCCUGCUUUUUCGCCUUCUUCCCUCGUCGCCUUCUUGCCCUUCACUCUCAGUGCUAUCGGCCUCGGUGUGGUUCGACCGAGCCAUGACCUUCUUCUGUAUCCAUACCCAAGUUAAUCGUCGUGAGGUUCGGUUGGUAAUAUGACCCGAAUAGAUUGUCGCACCAAUUUGGAGAAAAGAAAUCAGGAUUAUUGAAAUCUAUGGGAGGAAAAAAUUGAGAGAGAUUGAGAGAGAAUAAAGAGGAAAA
rnacentral:lncRNA from 1 species